rnacentral:rRNA from 1 species
UACGAAGGGGGCUAGCGUUGUUCGGAAUUACUGGGCGUAAAGCGCACGUAGGCGGAUUUGUAAGUCAGGGGUGAAAUCCCGGGGCUCAACCUCGGAACUGCCUUUGAUACUGCAAAUCUUGAGUCCGAGAGAGGUGAGUGGAAUUCCUAGUGUAGAGGUGAAAUUCGUAGAUAUUAGGAAGAACACCAGUGGCGAAGGCGGCUCACUGGCUCGGUACUGACGCUGAGGUGCGAAAGCGUGGGGAGCAAACAGG